rnacentral:lncRNA from 1 species
CUUCGCUGUGCGCUCCUCCGCGGUCCCCUCGGCCCAGGCGGUCCUUCCCAUUCCUGCCGCUGUCACUUUUUCUACUGGACUAAUAAAGUUUGGGGAAGGAAUCUCCAGCGGUUGCUCCUCUUGGUGCAAUAGUUACCGAGUUUCCUUCACACGAAGUUCCAGGGCUGCCACCCUGAAGAAGUGCCGGCAGCGUCCUCCCUGGACACCACGAUGCUAUUUUUCUCCUGCCCUGCCCAGCCGGUGGAGGAGAUUCACGGUCUUCCUGUCGCGUCGGGACCCCUUGAGGUUCCACGGGGACGGGAGAAGGAGUAGCUGUCCCCUCCCCUUCAGUAGGAAGUGUAGUCCGCGCUCGAGAACCGCCAACCAACACCCGCAUCACGCUGGGUUCCUGCAAACCCGACGGAGCGCUCCUCCGAGCCUCUCUGCAGGCCCCAGGGGAGGCGGUGCGAUUCCUGCCCCGCGACGGAAGCCGCGCUGAGGGGCCCUGCCCUGCCCCCUGGCCCCCUGGAUGGGUCUGGGAGAGGGGCAGGGCUGCCCUUUCCCGCCCGAGAAGCAGCGCGAGGGCGCUCACCCCCAUCCGGAGACGCGAGGGUGACGGAGCCCACGUGCCCGCGUUAAAAUGACCUCCGCGCCCGCGUCGGGACAGCCGUUUGCCGGAGACCGACCGCAGGGAGAGCGCGUGGCUCCGGGACCGGGGCUGACGAGAGAAGCCGCGCGGUUUCCGACACGGCGGGUGUGUGGCGGGGAGGGAGGCCGGCGUCCGAGCACGCGGUGCGGCCCGAGCGUGCGGAGCCUCAGCGGAGAUGCUCCCCCAGGCUACAGGGACAAUAGGGAAGACAGAAGCUCCCUGGUUUGCUGA